ensembl:snRNA U6 U6 spliceosomal RNA
GAUCACUUUGGCAGGACAUUUAGCAAAAUUGGAAUGAUAUAGAGACGAUUAGCAUGGGCCCUGCACAAAGAUGACAGGCAAAUUCAUGAUGCAUUCAAUAUUUUU